ACUCCUACGGGAGGCAGCAGUAGGGAAUUUUCCGCAAUGGACGAAAGUCUGACGGAGCAAUGCCGCGUGAGUGAUGAAGGUUUUCGAAUCGUAAAGCUCUGUUGUAAGGGAAGAAUAGCAAGAAUAAGGAAAGGUUUACUUUAUGUCUGGCACUGGUACCUUACCAGAAAGCCACGGCUAACUACGUGCCAGCAGCCGCGGUAAUACGUAGGUGGCAAGCGUUAUCCGGAAUUAUUGGGCGUAAAGCGCAUGUAGGCGGCUUUUUAAGUCUGAUGUGAAAGCCAGGUGGCUCAA
rnacentral:rRNA from 1 species